UAAUUCCUUUUUAUUGUUUGUUCAGCGGCAAAUGUUGCUCGAAUUACAAAAAACCCACUACCUUUACCCAAAACUAGGCUUUCCUGGUAGUCACCGGCAUGGAAUGAGAAUGGAAUGAGCGAGCCACCUACGCCGCUCUCUCUACUUUACGCUCUCCCAGCCAGCUUCCAGCACGUCGCCAUUUGUUUUUUUUUUCAGUGCGUUUCGCAGUCGGCUCCGUGAAAAGCGGGUAAAUUCGGUAAAUUAAAUGAAAAAAAGUGUCGAGCUGAUGUGCAGGGAAGUGUAGUGAUUAAAUAUGGAUAAAUUAAAUGGAAAAACAAUUGUUUUCAAGAAAAUGUGUCUGUGCCAAGUGCGCGUUCGCCACAGAAGAAAAAGUUUCAUAAAAAAAGGCUGAUCUGCUAAGGAAAAGUCCAAGUGAAGUGUAAAAUAAGAAUUUGAUAAAAAUCUUAUUGUUUUAUCCGUAAAUUCAUAUUUUUUCUAUGUGCAAGGGCUCAACGGAGCCCCGUUUUUAUUUCCAUUUGGUCACGUGAGGUGCUUUUUUUUGUGUGUGUGUUUGUGUUUGUGAAAAAAGUGCAGAAAAGGCGUCAAGUUCUAUCCCUUUCCCACACCCACAUGCAAGCGGCGCAGUGAAGAAGAGAGGCCAAAAUGAGUCCACGCUCUCUCUAAGUCCAAGUGUGCUCUCAAUUUAAGAUAAUUGCAAAAAAAAUACAAGAUUUUCCCAGGAGCUAAAAACAGCGAUUCCAACGAUUUUGGCGAGACUCGAGGUCGUAUGCCGAUAUUGGACCAUUUUACUGCGAUUUAUUUUUAGAUAAUUUUAAAAUUUAAAAAUGACUGUGGAAAAACUCUUUUGGUAGAUAAUGCAAAAAAAUAACCAUAAAAAUACCAAAACAAAUUUAUUUCUGCUGUUAUUGCUGAUUAUGUGUAAUUUAGUAAAUUUUCAAUGAAUUUCGAAAAUAAUAGCCUGACAAAAUUGCAUGGAAAUGUGUUUUUAAUGACUUUCCAUGGAAAGUGGACUGCAGUGGAAAACAAAGGAAAUAUCGGAUAUCAUUAAGCGGAAAUAUGAAGGCCCAGAGAAAAUACCAGAGCCUAAGGUAUAUU